rnacentral:rRNA from 1 species
GAGUUUGAUUCUGGCUCAGGGUGAACGCUAGCGGUGCGCCUAACACAUGCAAGUCGAGCGGGAGUAUUUUGUAGCUUGCUACAGGAUAUGAGAGCGGCGAACGGGUGAGUAACACGUUGGAAUCUGCCCCUAAGUCAGGGAUAGCCCAGGGAAACCUGGAUUAAUACCGGAUAGUCUCUUUGGAGUAAAAAUUUAUUGCUUAGGGAAGAGCCUGCGUACUAUCAGCUAGUUGGUGAGGUAAAAGCUUACCAAGGCAAUGACGGUUAACUGGUCUGAGAGGAUGAUCAGUCACAAUGGAACUGAGACACGGUCCAUACUCCUACGGGAGGCAGCAGUGAGGAAUCUUCCACAAUGGACGAAAGUCUGAUGGAGCGACACCGCGUGAAGGAUGAAGGCCUAAACGGUUGUAAACUUCUUUUCUGAAGGAGCAUAAU